GCCUUCGAGGAUCAGUGGCGAUCGUCCCGCUUCUAUUAGUCCAAACCGAGACAAUACAACGGGAAGGUGGGGUUCGACUCCCCAAGGUGGCA